GACGUAGGGGGCAAGCGUUGUCCGGAAUUAUUGGGCGUAAAGAGCUCGUAGGCGGUCUGUUGCGUCGGCUGUGAAAACCCGGGGCUCAACCCCGGGCCUGCAGCCGAUACGGGCAGACUAGAGUUCGGCAGGGGAGACUGGAAUUCCUGGUGUAGCGGUGAAAUGCGCAGAUAUCAGGAGGAACACCGGUGGCGAAGGCGGGUCUCUGGGCCGAUACUGACGCUGAGGAGCGAAAGCGUGGGGAGCAAACAGG
rnacentral:rRNA from 1 species